rnacentral:lncRNA from 1 species
UUUCUGUUGCCAGCACUAAUCCUUUAGAUAUUGGCAGUUUAUGCAUCGUGUGUUUUAAAAUGAAGUCGCAGAUCGAGCGCAGUUCAAGACCCCAAGCCCAUAAGUCACCAUCAGGCCCAGCCAGACUGGCAGCAGGCAACGGGUCGCAGUCUCCAGCUCCAGCUCCAGCUCCAGCUCCAGCUCUGUCUCUCUCUUGCUUUUCGAGCUCUGGUGUGUGUGUGUGUGUCAGUUCAGUGUUUGCUCGCCCGCUUUAAUUAACAUAUGCUAACAAGUUGGCCAUGCCGCACUUUGUCACUUCCAAGAGCUCGAAACUUCAGCCACAGACAGAGCCAGAAACCAGAGAGUCAGCGACAGAGCUCAUAGCUCCAACGCUCAAGAGCCGCGUCGUGGGGGCACUUUGGUGGUGUUGGGGGUGGGC